CGUGAGAUCCUCUUCAAAACCCUUUUUUUUUGAGCCGUGUGAUAGCUUCCUCGCUCUUGGGUUUUGUCAGCCGUAAGGCCCCUCUCUCCCAUGGGGUUUUCAGCCGCCAGCAACCAACAAAAAAAAAAGAAAGAAGAAAGAGGGUGCAGCCCUUCCUCCGUUGCUGGUUUUUGGUUCCAAAAACAAAGAAAAGAAAAGGCUGCAAAGGAUUUUUGGCCUUCUUCUUUUUCAUCCACCCUUCUUCUUCCUCCUCCCUAAGGGAAUCAAGAGUUGAUUCAAAGGAAGGAUUUUAGCCAUCAAAAGUUAUCUCUGCAAGGGAGCUAGCACCCCGGGGAGAUUCAAAGGCUUCGAUUGGUCCUCUGCUUCGUGUGGAUACCCGUAAAGGCCGGACGCGUGUGCGGCUUCAAGCGAACCUUUCAACAAAUACCAUGAUCAUCGGAUUGCGGUGAAUAUCUACCCGCACAAGGUGAAGAUCUGAUCUUCCUAAUCUUAUAUAAAAGUUUUGAUCCUAAUCUAUCUAUGAACGUCAGUUUUAAAAUACGUUCAUGCGAUGAGCGAUGCGGAUCUCGUGCAUGCCCCUUCCGCUGCGUUCGUUCUGUUUAUUUUGAGGCGUGCAAGGGAUUCCAACAGUGGUAUCAGAGCCAGGUUGCGUAGAUUAAGAUUAAGAUUAAUCAUUAAAGGCAUGAUAGAUCUGAAAAUUUAAAGAUUAUGCUUGCUAGAUUUUUCUGCAUGCAGAAUUUUCAGGUUGCUGAUUUUUCUGCAUUCU
rnacentral:lncRNA from 1 species